rnacentral:rRNA from 1 species
UACGAACGCUGGCGGCGUGCUUAACACAUGCAAGUCGAACGGAAAGGCCCUGCUUUUGUGGGGUGCUCGAGUGGCGAACGGGUGAGUAACACGUGAGUAACCUGCCCUUGACUUUGGGAUAACUUCAGGAAACUGGGGCUAAUACCGGAUAGGAGCUCCUGCUGCAUGGUGGGGGUUGGAAAGUUUCGGCGGUUGGGGAUGGACUCGCGGCUUAUCAGCUUGUUGGUGGGGUAGUGGCUUACCAAGGCUUUGACGGGUAGCCGGCCUGAGAGGGUGACCGGCCACAUUGGGACUGAGAUACGGCCCAGACUCCUACGGGAGGCAGCAGUGGGGAAUAUUGCACAAUGGGCGGAAGCCUGAUGCAGCAACGCCGCGUGCGGGAUGACGGCCUUCAGGUUGUAAACCGCUUUCGCCUGUGACGAAGCGUGAGUGACGGUAAUGGGUAAAGAAGCACCGGCUAACUACGUG